UUCUCAUCGCUCAGGUGUCCUAGUGGUUAGAGCGUCCGCCUCGGAUGCGGGAGGUCGCGGGUUAGAAGCCCGGCUGAGUCAU